rnacentral:pre_miRNA from 1 species
GGUCCAAAUUUGGAGUAGAGUAGAUUAUUAGGAUCAGCUGACCAUACCCAACUAUUCCACUCCGAGUUUGUGCUC